AUUGGAGACAGAAGGGUAGAAGCAGGGAGGUCCUUGGAGGAUUGGAGACAGAAGGGUAGAAGCAGGGAGGUCCUUGGAGGAUUGGAGACAGAAGGGUAGAAGCAGGGAGGUCCUUGGAGGAUUGGAGACAGAAGGGUAGAAGCAGGGAGGUCAGUGGAGGAUUGGAGACAGAAGGGUAGAAGCAGGGAGGUCCUUGGAGGAUUGGAGACAGAAGGGUAGAAGCAGGGAGGUCCUUGGAGGAUUGGAGACAGAAGGGUAGAAGCAGGGAGGUCAGUGGAGGAUUGGAGACAGAAGGGUAGAAGCAGGGAGGUCCUUGGAGGAUUGGAGACAGAAGGGUAGAAGCAGGGAGGUCAGUGGAGGAUUGGAGACAGAAGGGUAGAAGCAGGGAGGUCAGUGGAGGAUUGGAGACAGAAGGGUAGAAGCAGGGAGGUCCUUGGAUGAUUGGAGACAGAAGGGUAGAAGCAGGGAGGUCCUUGGAGGAUUGGAGACAGAAGGGUAGAAGCAGGGAGGUCCGUGGAGGAUUGGAGACAGAAGGGUAGAAGCAGGGAGACCCUUGGAGGAUUGGAGACAGAAGGGUAGAAGCAGGGAGGUCCUUGGAGGAUUGGAGACAGAGGGAAGGGUAGCAGUGACAUUGGAGACAGAGGGGUAAGGGGAGCAGUGCCUUUGGAGACAGAGGGGAAAUGUAGCAGUGACAUUGGAGACAGAGGGGUAAGGGUAGCAGUGACAUUGGAGACAGAGGGUAAGGGGAGCAGUGACAUUGGAGACAGAGGGGUAAGGGUAGCAGUGACAUUGGAGACAGAGGGGUAAGGGUAGCAGUGACAUUGGAGACAGAGGGGUAAGGGUAGCAGUGACAUUGGAGACAGAGGGGUAAGGGUAGCAGUGACAUUAGAGACAGAGGGGUAAGGGGAGCAGUGACAUUAGAGACAGAGGGGUAAGGGGAGCAGUGACAUUAGAGACAGAGGGGUAAGGGGAGCAGUGACAUUGGAGACAGAGGGGUAAGGGUAGCAGUGACAUUGGAGACAGAGGGUAAGGGUAGCAGUGACAUUGGAGACAGAGGGGAAGGGUAGCAGUGACAUUGGAGACAGAGGGGUAAGGGAGCAGUGACAUUGGAGACAGAGGGGUAAGGGGAGCAGUGACAUUGGAGACAGAGGGUAAGGGUAGCAGUGACAUUGGAGACAGAGGGAAAUGUAGCAGUGACAUUAGAGACAGAGGGGUAAGGGUAGCAGUGACAUUGGAGACAGAGGGUAAGGGUAGCAGUGACAUUGGAGACAGAGGGUAAGGGUAGCAGUGACAUUAGAGACAGAGGGGUAAGGGUAGCAGUGACAUUGGAGACAGAGGGGUAAGGGUAGCAGUGACAUUGGAGACAGAGGGGUAAGGGUAGCAGUGACAUUGGAGACAGAGGGGUAAGGGUAGCAGUGACAUUGGAGACAGAGGGGUAAGGGUAGCAGUGACAUUGGAGACAGAGGGUAAGGGUAGCAGUUACAUUAGAGACAGAGGGUAAGGGUAGCAGUGACAUUGGAGACAGAGGGUAAGGGUAGCAGUGACAUUGGAGACAGAGGGUAAGGGGAGCAGUGACACUGGAGACAGAGGGGUAAGGGUAGCAGUGACAUUAGAGACGGAGGGGUAAGGGUAGCAGUGACAUUAGAGACAGAGGGGUAAGGGUAGCAGUGACAUUGGAGACAGAGGGGUAAGGGUAGCAGUGACAUUGGAGACAGAGGGUAAGGGUAGCAGUGACAUUGGAGACAGAGGGUAAGGGUAGCAAUGACAUUGGAGACAGAGGGUAAGGGUAGCAGUGACAUUAGAGACAGAGGGUAAGGGUAGCAGUGACAUUGGAGACAGAGGGGUAAGGGGAGCAGUGACACUGGAGACAGAGGGUAAGGGUAGCAGUGACAUUGGAGACAGAGGGGUAAGGGUAGCAGUGACAUUAGAGACAGAGGGGUAAGGGUAGCAGUGACAUUGGAGACAGAGGGUAAGGGUAGCAGUGACAUUAGAGACAGAGGGGUAAGGGGAGCAGUGACAUUGGAGACAGAGGGUAAGGGUAGCAGUGACAUUGGAGACAGAGGGGAAAUGUAGCAGUGACAUUGGAGACAGAGGAGUAAGGGUAGCAGUGACAUUGGAGACAGAGGGGUAAGGGUAGCAGUGACAUUAGAGACAGAGGG